AGAACAUUAGCCCUUGCUAGCAGGAAGCAUGCUAACAUCUUAUUUGGCUAACUGCUCAAAACUUGUCACAAAAAUCUAGCUUUGCCUCUUUGUCCAAAUAUAUCAGGGCAUUGACCACAUAGGAGGAAUAUGAAGUACAUUCCUGUACCGUUAAUAUUUUGUGAUUUCUGCCUUAGAGGGACUUUCUGUGAUGUCUAACAAGGUUGGAAACUCUUGUAGAGUGAUCUUGGUCCACUCCUCCAUGUAAAACAUUGGUUUGAUCCUAUGCCAUCUGGCAGAUUUGGGUGAUGGAGUUUAUCAUCUUCCUCAUCUGAUAGUUUCUCUGCCCCGUGUCCUCCCCCAGCACCACUCUACACCCAGCUGACCCAUGGUCCACUAACAGACGAAAGCCAGGAGGGCAGGACCGGUCCACACAGAGAGUGUGCACUACUGCUGAGCAUGGACUUCCUGCCUUCUCUGGAAAAAAUGGAAAAUGUGUGUGCUUGUGCAUGUGUGUGGUAUUAUCAUGGACAUGGUUAUGUGUCCCAGUGUAAGACAGGCUAAAAUAGUUAAUGUGUGUGUAUGUGAGACAGUGCGUGGGGGCCACAGCUGUGGCCAUUUCUCUGGUGACCCUAUAGCCCUCUGUCCCCUAAGCUGGCUUUCGCCUUACAGCUGCUGCUCUGCACCUGAAGGAACAUGCACACACACACACAUGCUUAGGAUUCAUGAAUGCAUGUGUGUAUGUGUGUGUGUGUGUACACCAUUCCCAUGAUAACAUUCCUUAGCCUCCUUUAUUGAAUCAGAACUUCCACUGUCCAGAGACAAAAGCAAAUGUUGCAACAGUUUGUACCAAUUCAGCAAAUUGUGUCAAGAUGAGAAUUCUUAGUUCCC
ensembl:lncRNA